rnacentral:tRNA from 1 species
GGAUUGUGGCUCAUUGGUAGAGCGCUUGUCUAGCAUGUGCAAGGCCCUGGGUUCAAUCCUCAGCACCA